rnacentral:rRNA from 1 species
UACAGGCUUAACACAUGCAAGUCGAGGGGCAUCAGUUUGGUUUGCUUGCAAACCAAAGCUGGCGACCGGCGCACGGGUGAGUAACACGUAUCCAACCUGCCUCAUACUCGGGGAUAGCCUUUCGAAAGAAAGAUUAAUAUCCGAUAGCAUAUAUUUCCCGCAUGGGUUUUAUAUUAAAGAAAUUCGGUAUGAGAUGGGGAUGCGUUCCAUUAGUUUGUUGGGGGGGUAACGGCCCACCAAGACUACGAUGGAUAGGGGUUCUGAGAGGAAGGUCCCCCACAUUGGAACUGAGACACGGUCCAAACUCCUACGGGAGGCAGCAGUGAGGAAUAUUGGUCAAUGGACGCGAGUCUGAACCAGCCAAGUAGCGUGAAGGAUGACUGCCCUAUGGGUUGUAAACUUCUUUUAUAUGGGAAUAAAGUUGUCCACGUGUGGAUUUUUGUAUGUACCAUAUGAAUAAGGAUCGGCUAACUCCGUGCCAGCAGCCGCGGUAAUACGGAGGAUCCGAGCGUUAUCCGGAUUUAUUGGGUUUAAAGGGAGCGUAGGCGGAUUGUUAAGUCAGUUGUGAAAGUUUGCGGCUCAACCGUAAAAUUGCAGUUGAUACUGGCAGUCUUGAGUGCAGUAGAGGUGGGCGGAAUUCGUGGUGUAGCGGUGAAAUGCUUAGAUAUCACGAAGAACUCCGAUUGCGAAGGCAGCUCACUGGAGUGUAACUGACGCUGAUGCUCGAAAGUGUGGGUAUCAAACAGGAUUAAAUACCCUGGUAGUCCACACAGUAAACGAUGA